rnacentral:rRNA from 1 species
AACGAACGCUGGCGGCAGGCCUAACACAUGCAAGUCGAACGCUGUAGCAAUACUUUGGUGAGAGUGGCGCACGGGUGCGUAACACGUAUGCAACCUACUUAUAACCGGGACACAACCCACCGAAAGGUGAGCUAAUAUCCCAUAACACUGCGAGAUGGCAUCAUUUUGCAGUUAAAACUCCGGUGGUUAUAGAUGGGCAUGCGCGACAUUAGCUAGUUGGUGAGGUAACGGCCCACCAAGGCUACGAUGUCUAGGGGUUCUGAGAGGAUUAUCCCCCACACUGGUACUGAGACACGGACCAGACUCCUACGGGAGGCAGCAGUAAGGAAUAUUGGUCAAUGGGCGCAAGCCUGAACCAGCCAUGCCGCGUGAAGGAUGACGGCCCUAUGGGUUGUAAACUUCUUUUGUACGGGAAAAAACCUCUGGUCGCGAAUCAGAGCUCAUGGUACCGUAAGAAUAAGCAUCGGCUAACUCCGUGCCAGCAGCCGCAGUAAUAC